rnacentral:rRNA from 1 species
GUGAGCGCUGGCGGCGUGCUUAACACAUGCAAGUCGAACGAGAACGGGUUUAAGUUUACUUAAACUGUCAGCUAAGUGGCGCACGGGUGAGUAAUAUAUAGUUAAUCUGCCCUAGAGAAAGGGAUAACGUUUGGAAACGAACGCUAACACCUUAUAUGCCUUUAUUACAUAAGUAAGCAAGGGAAACAUUUAUGGCUCUAGGAUGAGACUGUACAGUAUCAGCUAGUUGGUGAGGUAAUGGCUCACCAAGGCAAUGACGCUUAACUGGUUUGAGAGGAUGAUCAGUCACACUGGAACUGAGACACGGUCCAGACUCCUACGGGAGGCAGCAGUGGGGAAUAUUGCACAAUGGAGGAAACUCUGAUGCAGCAACGCCGCGUGGAGGAUGACACUUUUCGGAGCGUAAACUCCUUUUAUAUAGGAAGAUAAUGACGGUACUAUAUGAAUAAGCACCGGCUAACUCCGUGCCAGCAGCCGCGGUAAUACGGAGGGUGCAAGCGUUACUCGGAAUCACUGGGCGUAAAGAGCGUGUAGGCGGAUAGAUAAGUUCGAAGUGAAAUCCAAUGGCUCAA